AACGGUCCUAAGGUAGCGAAAUUCCUUGUCGGGUAAGUUCCGACCUGCACGAAUGGCGUAAUGAUGGCCAGGCUGUCUCCACCCGAGACUCAGUGAAAUUGAACUCGCUGUGAAGAUGCAGUGUACCCGCGGCAAGACGGAAAGACCCCGUGAACCUUUACUAUAGCUUGACACUGAACAUUGAGCCUUGAUGUGUAGGAUAGGUGGGAGGCUUUGAAGUGUGGACGCCAGUCUGCAUGGAGCCGACCUUGAAAUACCACCCUUUAAUGUUUGAUGUUCUAACGUGGACCCGUUACCCGGGUUGCGGACAGUGUCUGGUGGGUAGUUUGACUGGGGCGGUCUCCUCCUAAAGAGUAACGGAGGAGCACGAAGGUUGGCUAAUCCUGGUCGGACAUCAGGAGGUUAGUGCAAUGGCAUAAGCCAGCUUGACUGCGAGCGUGACGGCGCGAGCAGGUGCGAAAGCAGGUCAUAGUGAUCCGGUGGUUCUGAAUGGAAGGGCCAUCGCUCAACGGAUAAAAGGUACUCCGGGGAUAACAGGCUGAUACCGCCCAAGAGUUCAUAUCGACGGCGGUGUUUGGCACCUCGAUGUCGGCUCAUCACAUCCUGGGGCUGAAGUAGGUCCCAAGGGUAUGGCUGUUCGCCAUUUAAAGUGGUACGCGAGCUGGGUUUAGAACGUCGUGAGACAGUUCGGUCCCUAUCUGCCGUGGGCGCUGGAGAACUGAGGGGGGCUGCUCCUAGUACGAGAGGACCGGAGUGGACGCAUCACUGGUGUUCGGGUUGUCAUGCCAAUGGCACUGCCCGGUAGCUAAAUGCGGAAGAGAUAAGUGCUGAAAGCAUCUAAGCACGAAACUUGCCCCGA
rnacentral:rRNA from 1 species